rnacentral:rRNA from 1 species
GAUGAACGCUAGCGGCGUGCCUAAUACAUGCAAGUCGAGCGAACAGCCCAGGAGCUUGCUCCACUGACGUUACCGGCGGAUGACGGAGUAGCAAGUUACUAACCUACGUAUAAUACUGGGAUAACUUCUGGAAACAUGCGCUAAUACCGGAUAAUAUAUUAUCACUCGUUGUUCAAUAGUGCGGGACGGUUUGGCUGUCACUUAUCGAUGUAUCCGGGCCGCAUUAUAUAGUUGGUACGGUACCGGCUUACCAAGGCAACGAUACGUGGCGGACCCGAGAGGGUGAUCGGCCCCACUAGAACUGAACCGCGGUCCAGACCCCUACGGGAGGCAGCGGUGGGGUAACGUCUGCAAGUGGCUAAAGCCUAACGGAGCAACGCCGUGUGAGUGAUGAGGGGCUUCGGAUCUGAAAUGUCUGUUAUUAGGGAAGAACAAAUGUGUAAGGAACGUGGCACGUCUUGACGGUACCUUAUCAGAAAGCCACGGCUAACUACGUG